rnacentral:misc_RNA from 1 species
UAUUGUUAACCGACUUCCAAAAAAGGAGGAGGUUCUCAAUUCGACUGUAUUUUUUUUUUUUUUUUUUAUGUAUGUUACAUCAGAACUUUUGCCCGUGUGGACCGAUUUCGACAAAUUUUGUUUUAAUCGAAAGGUGGUGUGUGCCAAUUGGUCCCAUUUAAAUUUAUUUGAGAUCUAACAACUACUUUUCGAGUUAUAUCUAAUAAUGUGUUUUUACUUGACUCUUUUUUCGUCGACCUACGUUGUAUUAUACCGCAUAACUUUCUACUGGAUGUACCGAUUUUGAUAAUUCUUUUUUUGUUGGAAAGGGGAUAUCCCUAGUUUGGUACUUGAUAAGGAAACUAGGAUCUGAUGAUGGAAUCCCAGAGGAAUCGAGGGAAACUCUCGAAAAUCCGUAAUAACUUUUUACUGGGUGUACCGAUUUUGAUAAUUUUUAAUUUAAUCGAAAGCUGAUGUUUAUCUUGUGGUCACAUAUAAAUUUUAUCGAGAUCUGAUAACUACUUUUUGAGUAAU